rnacentral:rRNA from 1 species
GAAGAGGUAAGUGGAAUCCCNAGUGUAGCGGUGAAAUGCGUAGAGAUUGGGAGGAACACCAGUGGCGAAGGCGACUUACUGGGCCGUAACUGACGCUGAGGCGCGAAAGCGUGGGGAGCGAACAGGAUUAGAUACCCUGGUAGUCCACGCUGUAAACGAUGAAUGCUAGGUGUUGCGGGUAUCGACCCCCGCAGUGCCGGAGUCAACACAAUAAGCAUUCCGCCUGGGGAGUACGGCCGCAAGGUUGAAGCUCAAAGGAAUUGACGGGGGCCCGCACAAGCAGCGGAGCAUGUUGUUUAAUUCGAAGCAACGCGAAGAACCUUACCAUGUCUUGACAUCGAGGUAAAGCCUAGGAGACUAGGUGUGGAUUCGUCCGACCGAAGACAGGUGGUGCAUGGUUGUCGUCAGCUCGUGUCGUGAGAUGUUGGGUUAAGUCCCGCAACGAGCGCAACCCUUAUGGUCAGUUACUAACGCGUAGCGGCGAGGACUCUGACAAGACUGCCGGGGACAACUCGGAGGAAGGUGGGGACGACGUCAAAUCAUCAUGCCCCUUAUGACAUGGGCUACAAACGUGCUACAAUGGUGGUUACAAAGAGGGGCGAGCCCGUAAGGGUAAGCGGAUCUCAAAAAAGCCAUCUCAGUUCGGACUGUGGGCUGCAACCCGCCCACACGAAGUUGGAGUUGCUAGUAAUCGCGGAUCAGCAUGCCGCGGUGAAUACGUUCCCGGGCCUUGUACACACCGCCCGUCACACCAUGGGAGUUGGGAGCACCCGAAGCCGGUGAGCUGACCGAGAGGGGGCAGCCGUCGAAGGUGAGACCGAUGACUGGGGUGAAGUCGUAACAAGGUAACCA